rnacentral:rRNA from 1 species
CCUGGCUCAGAUUGAACGCUGGCGGCAUGCUUUACACAUGCAAGUCGAACGGCAGCGGGGGCUUCGGCCUGCCGGCGAGUGGCGAACGGGUGAGUAAUGCAUCGGAACGUGCCCAUGUCGUGGGGGAUAACGUAGCGAAAGCUACGCUAAUACCGCAUACGCCCUGAGGGGGAAAGCGGGGGAUUCUUCGGAACCUCGCGCGAUUGGAGCGGCCGAUGUCGGAUUAGCUAGUAGGUGAGGUAAAGGCUCACCUAGGCGACGAUCCGUAGCGGGUCUGAGAGGAUGAUCCGCCACACUGGGACUGAGACACGGCCCAGACUCCUACGGGAGGCAGCAGUGGGGAAUUUUGGGACAAUGGGCGCAAGCCUGAUCCAGCCAUGCCGCGUGAGUGAAGAAGGCCUCGGUGUAAGACGUC